GGAAGCCAGCAGCCAGGUCUUGAGGACACUCAGGCAGCCUGUGGAGAGGUCCAUAUAACAAGUAACCCAGGGCUUCUGCCAAUAGCCAUAUGAGUGAGCCAUCUUGGAGGAGGACCCUCCAGCCAUAGUCAGGUCUUAAGCUGAGUGCAGCUCUAGCAGAGGUCUCGCUGCAUCCUAAUGGGGGACCCUGAGCCAGAAACACCUGGCUAACACGUCCUGAGCUCCUGGCCCACAGAAACUGUGCGAGAUAACAAAUGUUUAUUGCUUGAAGUCACUAAGUUAUGAGUCAACUAAAGCAGAUGCUGGCUGAGUCACAGCGUGAUGAAGCAUUGCUAACCCAAGACGUGAAUCGAGAGCACGUGGGGGAUACUGCUUUUAUGCUGAACUAGGAAGACAGCAGCCGCCAUCAAAGCCAGAAUCGAACAUAAAAUUUAACAAUCAAACACGACAAAAACAGUUUAAAAAUGGAUUUGUACUUUGUUUAUCAUCUGUUCCCCCAUGUUAGAAUGUUAGCUCUAUGAGAACAGAGCUUUCACUUCUGCUUCCUCUCCACUGUGUCUUCAGGACAACAAACACUGCC
rnacentral:lncRNA from 1 species